GACCCGAAACCCGGUGAUCUAGCCAUGGGCAGGUUGAAGGUUGGGUAACACUAACUGGAGGACCGAACCGACUAAUGUUGAAAAAUUAGCGGAUGACCUGUGGCUGGGGGUGAAAGGCCAAUCAAACCGGGAGAUAGCUGGUUCUCCCCGAAAGCUAUUUAGGUAGCGCCUCGUGAAUUCAUCUCCGGGGGUAGAGCACUGUUUCGGCUAGGGGGCCAUCCCGGCUUACCAACCCGAUGCAAACUGCGAAUACCGGAGAAUGUUAUCACGGGAGACACACGGCGGGUGCUAACGUCCGUCGUGAAGAGGGAAACAACCCAGACCGCCAGCUAAGGUCCCAAAGUCAUGGUUAAGUGGGAAACGAUGUGGGAAGGCCCAGACAGCCAGGAUGUUGGCUUAGAAGCAGCCAUCAUUUAAAGAAAGCGUAAUAGCUCACUGGUCGAGUCGGCCUGCGCGGAAGAUGUAACGGGGCUAAACCAUGCACCGAAGCUGCGGCAGCGAACGUAUCACCCAAGACAACUUUACGGAGUUGACGAUUGACGGAGCGAAGCGACGUCAAAGCGUUCAUUAAAGUCGAGUUGGCUUAGGGAUACGUUCGUUGGGUAGGGGAGCGUUCUGUAAGCCUGUGAAGGUGUGUCGUGAGGCAUGCUGGAGGUAUCAGAAGUGCGAAUGCUGACAUAAGUAACGAUAAAGCGGGUGAAAAGCCCGCUCGCCGGAAGACCAAGGGUUCCUGUCCAACGUUAAUCGGGGCAGGGUGAGUCGACCCCUAAGGCGAGGCCGAAAGGCGUAGUCGAUGGGAAACGGGUUAAUAUUCCCGUACUUGGUGUUACUGCGAAGGGGGGACGGAGAAGGCUAUGUUGGCCGGGCGACGGUUGUCCCGGUUUAAGCGUGUAGGUGUGUGUUCCAGGUAAAUCCGGUUCACUUUAACACUGAGGCGUGACGACGAGGCACUACGGUGCUGAAGCAACAAAUGCCCUGCUUCCAGGAAAAGCCUCUAAGCAUCAGGUAACACGAAAUCGUACCCCAAACCGACACAGGUGGUCAGGUAGAGAAUACCAAGGCGCUUGAGAGAACUCGGGUGAAGGAACUAGGCAAAAUGGUGCCGUAACUUCGGGAGAAGGCACGCUGACAC
rnacentral:rRNA from 1 species